GCUAGUUCCGGUUUCAGGAGCCAAUUAGUAAAUGCCCGUGAAGGUCUGUGCCGUUUAAGAUAAGGGAGGAUAGUUAUUUUUGAAUGAGCAUGGCCUUAUUUCUAUAACAGCAUAUUGGAUGACUAUCAUUCAUAUGCCAUUCACCAGCACCGCCUUGCACACUCUUGCCUGUAUCUAUCUGAUCUGGGGUGUAAUCAUUAGUCCAACAGUUGCAAACAAGAGUUGGACAAAAUUGGACAAAUUCCGGCAAUUCAACUGCUCCCUGGUGCUGCUCCCAGGCGCUGCUCCCAGGUGCUGCUCCCUGGUGCUGCUCCCAGGCGCUGAUCCCGGGCGCCGCUCCCAGGUGCUGCUCCAGGGCGCCGCAGACUGAGAAGAGGUGUGCGGUGUGGACUUUUGGUUCGACUCACGAUAUGGAGAGCUGUGAAAGCCUGUCUACAGAUGAAGAGGUCCCAGUGAAGAUGAAGAGGUCCCAAGAGACUGUCUGCAGAUGGAGAGGUCCCAGUGAAGGUCCCAAGAGACUGCAGCCACAUUCUUGUAUGCCAUAGGAUUUGUGUGUACUUAUGUUAGCACAUGUUGUACUCAACAAUACAGUACAAAUUCACACACAAUGUAGGCUACAAACGUAUUAAAUCAAAUCAAAAGUUUAUUUGUCACGUGCGCUGAAUACAACAGGACCUUACAGUGAAAUGCUUACUUACAGGCUCUAACCAAUAGUGCGAAAAAAAGGACGUGUGUGUGUGUGUAGGUAAGUAAAGAAAUAAAACAACAGUAAAAAGACAUUUGAAAAUAAGAGUAGCAAGGCUAUAUACAGACACCUGUUAGUCAGGCUUAUUGAGGUAGUAUGUACAUGUAGGGAUGGUUAAAGUGACUAUGCAUAUAUGAUGAACAGAGUGUAGCAGUAGCGUAAAAAGAGGGCUUGGCGGAUGGUGGGACACAAUACAGAUAGCCCUGUUAGCCAAUGUGUGGGAGCACUGCUUGGUCGGGCCAAUUGAGGGAGUAUGCACAUGAAUGUAUAGUUAAAGUGACUAUGCAUAUAAGAUAAACAGAGAGUAGCAGCAGUGUAAAAGAGGGGUUGGGGGGGCACACAAUGCAAAUAGUCCGGGUAACCAUUUGGUUACCUGUUCAUGAGUCUUAUGGCUUGGGGCUAUUACAACUGUAGCAGGCCAAUCCUGCUCCUGGAGGUCUGCUGGGUGUGCAGGCGUCUCUUCCCACCCUGCACUAACACACCUUAUACAAACGUAUCAAUCCUAAUGACUUGAUAAUAAUGUGUAUUAUUGUUGGGCUGGAAUAGAAGUCUGCUCACCCAGUAGAUCAGGAAGUGGAUCAAGGUUGGCCACCUCUGGUAUGGAUAUUUUAGUUUUUCUAAAAUUGAUGCUUUAGUAAUAAUAGCAUACUUACUAAGAUGUCUAACAUUUACAAACAAGGUAGCUUAUUUCUACAUUGAAAUUAUAUGUUGAUUCAUUACAUUUUUAUUAAUUGUUUAAACUUGUUUUAAUUGUAACGUAAAAAUAUCGUAACGACCCUGGGUUUAUAAGCGCGGAAAUCGACUCUGCCGCUGGAGCGAGCAUGCUUUUGUGGCAGUUGACAGCGCGCCGGACCUCGGGCUCGAAGGUCGACAGCGCGCCGGACCACGGGCUCGAAGGUUCGAAGGUCGACAGCGCGCCGGACCUCGGGCUCGAAGGUCGAGGGUUCGAGACCUGCUCCCUGCCGUUUCAUUACAAUAGUAUCCAAGAUGAACUAGUGUCAAUGUUCAUUCAUUACAGAUCAAUCAAAAAGGUGUGAAGGGGAUCUGUCUCUAACUUGUCUGUGUCUCUGUGUUGCUGUCUCAAAUGAACACGACCUUUUUGUCCAGUUGUAAUCUCUCUGAGCGGUUUUAUUUGAUUGUCAUGCUGUCUCAGGAUAUCAUCCAUUUAGCUGCUUAUCAUAAUGGCAUGCAUUACCAAUGCAACCAUAUGUCUACAGUAUGAUGGCAUUACUGGUCUAACGGACAUGUGCAAUCAAUGUGCCCCUUGUCAUUAUACAUCAGCAGCAGACAAUAGCUGAACUCAUAUUGUUGAGCUAGCUAUAUGUUCUACAUUUGAAAUAGAUCAUGUAUAUGAGGUUAACCAUAAGCCAGAUUUGUGACAUGAUUUAUCUGACAUUAAUUUGUUUAGUGCAAAUUCAACCCUUGUAUUCUAGGUACAUGAUAUUUUAUUUCAGCUCAUGAAACAUGGGACCAACAGUUGACAUUUUGCAUUUAUAUAUUUUUCAGUGUAUCUUCACUGAGUGAACAAAACAUUAAGGACACCUAUUCAGUUAAAACCUUUUGCCCUCAGAACAGCC